GAUCCUGGCUCAGGAUGAACGCUAGCUACAGGCUUAACACAUGCAAGUCGAGGGGAAACGACAUCGAAAGCUUGCUUUUGAUGGGCGUCGACCGGCGCACGGGUGAGUAACGCGUAUCCAACCUGCCCACCACUUGGGGAUAACCUUGCGAAAGUAAGACUAAUACCCAACUGACAUCCCACGAAGACAUCUGAAUGGGAGUUAAAGAAUUUGUUCGGUGAUGGAUGGGGAGUGCGUCUGAUUAG
rnacentral:rRNA from 1 species